UCAAAACGGGACUUUCUUAUCUUAUCACGAAAUUCCGUUCGUGUUUUCAAAUAAUUCAAAGAUUUACGAAAAUGAAAUAUAAAAUAUGAAAUCGCCGAAGUUCCUGAAGUUGCAUUGGCUAUAUUUCGUUUUUUGGAAGGUUGUACAUAUAACGCCUGAUGUGUUUGUAAAGAUCGCGAUUGUUGUAUUUUUUCAAUUGAAUUAAAUUAAAUUAAUUACAACAGCUGAACAAGCAGAACUGUUCACUUCAGUCUUCAACCGAAUGUGUCACAUAUGAAUAAAUUUGAGUAAAAGUGUACCAAGAUACGAAAUGUGGAGAAGAAUCUUACGCUUGUUUGCACCAUCAACAAAAAUAUUAAAACCGAAGACAGACAAUAUCAGAUUAUCGAUUCUUGAUGAGAAGGAAAUUAACAUCCCAUAUGCUCUUCGAGAUAUCGUGUCGGAUCAUAAAGAAUUUAUAAAGGAACACAAAAAAUCUGUUCAGAAAUUGCGUUUCAUAGUUGCCUUUAACGAUAUUUUGACUUCAGUAAAUGUGGUUGUAGUAUGUUUAGCUUUCGUGUUGUUAUUCAGACUCAGAGAAUCGAUGAGAGCCAGUGGUUUUUUCCCCCCGGAUAGCGAAAGCUCAAGAAGGUAACUGAUUGAGCCCUUAAAGAGAACUUUCAGCCUUUUUAUGGUAUUUUUUAUGAUGUUUCUUUUAAAAUAUUGUUCAUGUUUUUCGUCUAUGUCUUGUUACUGUGGUAUUUGUAAUACUUUUUCCUUUUAAAUAUUGUUUAUUUUUUUUUCGUAAAAUAGAUAGAUGUCUAAAAUUAGAAUGUUUUUUACUUU